CUGCAGUCAGGAGCUAGAUGGCAUCAAGCCAUUUACUUCUAGAACACCUCUCCCACCAAUUCAGCUUGAUUUCUGGUGUGAUACCUGUCUGGGCCAUGGUGGAGCACUGGCAUCCAUAGCGGCCCACCUCUAAGCUUCUGUCUACGCUGUCCAGAGACCCAGAAGUCUGGUUACAAGUCAUGAAGUUAUAAGCGCUGAGAAGACCGUGCUAGCCGGAGAAAAUGUUAGCCUGGCUCCAGGAGCAAAAUUAUGUCCAGCUACACCCUAAAACAUGGAUGAACCCUGAGUCUUAUGGAGGACAAAUUAGGCUAAGCCAGUUGCAAAAGGGUGAGUACUGGAGGGUUCCAGUUCUUCU